rnacentral:rRNA from 1 species
CCGCGAAUGGCUCAUUAAAUCAGUUAUGGUUUACUCGACAGUAACAGUACAUGGAUAACUGUGGUAAUUCUAGAGCUAAUACAUGCAGAUAGCCCUGACUCCUUGCGAGCACGGGCGCAGUUAUUAGAUCAAAAACCAAUCGACCGUACUUUCGGGUACGGUCGCUCGUUUGGUGACUCUGAGUAACCACAGCAAACCGCAUGGCCUAGCGCUCGGCGGUCUGUCGAUCAAGCAACUGCCUUAUCAGCUUGUUGUUAGGUUAUAUGCCUAACAAGGCGUCAACGGGUAACGAACGAUCGGGGUCGGACAUCGGAGAGGGAGCCUGAGAAACGGCUACCACUUCCAAGGAAGGCAGCAGGCGCGCAAAUUACCCACUCCCGGCACGGGGAGGUAGUGACGAGAUGUAUCGAUGCGGGGCCAUUAGUGCCUUCGUAAUCGGAAUGAGUACACUUUAAAUCCUUUAACGAGGACCUAUUGGAGGGCAAGUCUGGUGCCAGCAGCCGCGGUAAUUCCAGCUCCAAUAGCGUAUAUUAAUGCUGCUGCGGUUAAAAAGCUCGUAGUCGGACUUGGGUUUUCGGCGGGCAACAUGUGCGGCCUUCGAGCUGUACAUUGUUUGCUAUACGCGACACUUCGGUGGCGCUGCCGGUUCGGUAUUGUCUCAUUGUAGGCAUGCUGUGCCGGUCGCCGAGACCACGGGCUGAACCGGGCGACAUGCUCUUUACUGAGUGUGUUGUUCGUUCAGUGCGUUUACUUUGAAAAAAUUGGAGUGCUCAAAGCAGGCGUACAGUCGCUUUAUGCGGCCUGAACAGUGGUGCAUGGAAUAAUAGAAUAGGAUCUCGGUUCUAUUUUGUUGGUUUUAAGAAUUCGAGGUAAUGAUUAAGAGGGACAGGCGGGGACAUUUGUAUUGCAACGUUAGAGGUGAAAUUCUUGGAUCGUUGCAAGACAAACUAAUGCGAAAGCAUUUGUCUAGGAUGUUUUCAUUGAUCAAGAACGAAAGUUAGAGGUUCGAAGGCGAUCAGAUACCGCCCUAGUUCUAACCAUAAACGAUGCCAACCAGCGAUCCGUCGGUGUUCUCAUUUUUGAACGACCCGGCGGGCAGCUUCCGGGAAACCAAAGUGUUCGGGUUCCGGGGGAAGUAUGGUUGCAAAGCUGAAACUUAAAGGAAUUGACGGAAGGGCACCACCAGGAGUGGAGCCUGCGGCUUAAUUUGACUCAACACGGGGAAACUUACCCGGCCCGGACACUGUAAGGAUUGACAGAUUGAUAGCUCUUUCUUGAUUCGGUGGAUGGUGGUGCAUGGCCGUUCUUAGUUGGUGGAUUG